UACAGAGGUCUCAAGCGUUGUUCGGAUUCAUUGGGCGUAAAGGGUGCGUAGGUGGCGCCGUAAGUCAGGUGUGAAAUCUCGGAGCUCAACUCCGAAACUGCACUUGAUACUGCGGUGCUCGAGUACUGGAGAGGAGAUUGGAAUUUACGGUGUAGCAGUGAAAUGCGUAGAUAUCGUAAGGAAGACCAGUGGCGAAGGCGAAUCUCUGGACAGUUACUGACACUGAGCACGAAGGCCAGGGGAGCAAACGGG
rnacentral:rRNA from 1 species